CCUACGGGGUGCUGCAGUGGGGAAUAUUGGACAAUGGGCGAAAGCCUGAUCCAGCCAUGCCGCGUGUGUGAAGAAGGCCUUCGGGUUGUAAAGCACUUUCAGUGGGGAAGAAAGCCUUGGGGCUAAUACCCUCGAGGAAGGACAUCACCCACAGAAGAAGCACCGGCUAACUCCGUGCCAGCAGCCGCGGUAAUACGGAGGGUGCGAGCGUUAAUCGGAAUUACUGGGCGUAAAGCGCGCGUAGGCGGUCUGAUAAGCCGGUUGUGAAAGCCCCGGGCUCAACCUGGGAACGGCAUCCGGAACUGUCAGGCUAGAGUGCAGGAGAGGAAGGUAGAAUUCCCGGUGUAGCGGUGAAAUGCGUAGAGAUCGGGAGGAAUACCAGUGGCGAAGGCGGCCUUCUGGACUGACACUGACGCUGAGGUGCGAAAGCGUGGGUAGCAAACAGGAUUAGAUACCCCGGUAUUC
rnacentral:rRNA from 1 species